rnacentral:rRNA from 1 species
UACGAAGGGGGCUAGCGUUGUUCGGAAUUACUGGGCGUAAAGCGCACGUAGGCGGAUAUUUAAGUCAGGGGUGAAAUCCCAGAGCUCAACUCUGGAACUGCCUUUGAUACUGGGUAUCUUGAGUAUGGAAGAGGUAAGUGGAAUUGCGAGUGUAGAGGUGAAAUUCGUAGAUAUUCGGAAGAACACCAGUGGCGAAGGCGACUCACUGGACACGUAUUGACGCUGAGGUGCGAAAGCGUGGGGAGCAAACAGG